AACGAACGCUGGCGGCAUGCCUAACACAUGCAAGUCGAACGAGACCUUCGGGUCUAGUGGCGCACGGGUGCGUAACGCGUGGGAACCUGCCCUUAGGUUCGGAAUAACUCUCCGAAAGGGGUGCUAAUACCGGAUAAUGUCUUCGGACCAAAGAUUUAUCGCCCUUGGAUGGGCCCGCGUUGGAUUAGCUAGUUGGUAGGGUAAAAGCCUACCAAGGCGACGAUCCAUAGCUGGUCUGAGAGAAUGAUCAGCGACACUGGGACUAGGACACGGCCCAGACUCCUACGCGAGGCAGCAGUGGGGAAUGUUGCACAAUGGGCGAAGGCCUGAUCCAGCAAGGCCGCGUGAGUGAUGAAGGCCUUAGAGUUGUAAAGCUCUUUUACCCGGGAUGAUAAUGACGGUACCGGGAGAAUAAGCUCCGGCUAACUCCGUG
rnacentral:rRNA from 1 species